UCUCGACUGAAUCUCCGAGCUUCUGCCUCUGCACCGGGGAGAAGACAAAGAACGUCACUCCAGAAGGGGGCAGACCUGCUGCUUCCCGUUCUUUCUCUAACCUGCUGGAGCCCCACCUCCCCUCCUCCUACCUUCCCAUCCUGACAUGAGUUUCCUGACCCGGUGUGGGGAACCAUGGAAAGGGCUGACUGAGGAGAGGAAGGCCAGGGAGACAGCUGCCUGCCUGAUCGGGGGGUCGAGGUGUGUGUGUGUGUGUGUGUGGGAGGGGGUGUCGUCUAGAUUGGUCCUGAGAAUAACCCAUGGUAGCUUUACAGCACACACUUGACUGCAGAGAGAACCAAAAUGGCCUGAUAUAGCAACGGGUGGAUAGCAUAUACUGUUUACUGUGUGUAUAUCUACAUAUACAUAUAUAUUAUAUAAUGUAAAAAUGACUCUGUUGGCUCCACACACUCUCUCUGAGCUCAUGUAGUUGCUCGCCAGACAAUUCAUCACCGUUUGGUCCGUUUGCCAAAAAACCCAAACAAAAGACCAACAAAGGAUGACUGAGGUUUAAACCCCGUGUUGGACUGUGUCCGCGGUUUUGAUGAAGCCUGAAACAGGCUCCUCUGCUCUGCCUCAGCAGAUGUGGGCCAGCCUGUUUGACCUGUGUGGACAGGUUUUUCACUUUGUUCAGUGAGUCACACUCGAUAAAAUGAAAUGUAUUUUCCUGUGUGACCUUUUUUGUAAGUUCCUAAUCUCUCACCGAAUUUCCACCAGCAUCCGAAUAUCCAGUCAUUUAAGACUGACUCACCCAGUUAACUGUGUAUUUAUUCAACUUUUGUAUAUCCGGUAAAAACGGAUCAUCUGCCGAAUCCGUCGCCAAACGGCAACAAGUCGUGUUUAAAUAGUUUGGUGGGUGGUGUUUUUGCUUAUUUAAAGCUAGGGUCUGUAGUUUCUGAGAUCCUCAUCACAUCCAGAUAACCAUCGAUAAAUAAAAGCCGUUAUCUGUGAUUGA